UUAUCUGGGGCCAUGAUUUUAAAAUACCCACACACUAUCUGAUUCCAACCCUAAUUGAAGAAAUAACGCGCUGCCGCAUACACUGUUUCUGUAAGGAUCUACUCCGGCGCGAUCUGCUCCAGCGACAACUCUCUCCACCAAGGAUCCCCUCAGCCGCGUUCUCCUCCGACUAGAAUCUCCUCACCGUUCACCGCCAUCGUUCAUCUCCUCGCCGCUGCCUUCAAUGAGCUUCUACGAUCUUGUUCUGGCUUCGAUCUAAAGGUUAGCCAUCGCCACUCAUCUCCUUUGCUGCUUCAUUUAUCACCUCGCCGCCGCAAGCAACAUUGUUGCUGCUUUAGCGAGCUUCGACAAAUCUCUUCACUUUUGUGAUUACGUCCUUGCUCUCACCGUCGAGAACUUCCUCGAGCGCCACCUCCAGACUCUCGUCUUCAAUCCCAGCAUGGCCAAGUCAAUCCACCACGCCAGGUUCUGAUCCGCCAGCGCCACAUUAGAACUUGCUAAAAAAGUUCCACAAGGGUCAUCCAAAAGUCAGAACUCAGAUUAGCAUUGCUGUGGCUGCAUUGGCUGUGCAUGUGCCUGCUGAAGAUUGGGGAGAUGGUGGUAUAGUGAAAUGGCUUAGGGACGAGAUGGAUUCUCAUCCGGAAUAUAUACCAGGAUUCUUGGAGUUACUAACAGUUUUGCCAGAGGUCAUAGUAUGAUAUGUGUGAUUAUGUGUCAUCUCUUCAUUUUAUUAAUGAGACAAAUGCCUAAAGUUUGAGUUACUAAGUGACAAGUUGUUAUAAUUUUCAAAGUUGCUGCCUUGUCGGAUAGUAUUUUUUUCUUGGUUAUCAUUCAGGUUCUUGAAGCGUUUGCUUUGUGGCUUCGCCUAAAGCAUGGGAUUCCCGGAUCUGUUCUCAGUACCCAUCCAUUAGUUCUUACAGCAUUAUCAAGCUUGAAUUCUGAGUUUCUUUCUGAGGCAUCUGUAAAUGCCAAAACAGGAAAUUAAAGGGGAUCUUGAUCAUGGUAAGAGGGUAUUGCAGUGCUCUUAACAAAAUCUAACCUAAUGCCAUACCCAAGUCAAGGAUGUGGUCUUGAAAUUGAACCUGCUUCUCACAAAAGAACAAGCUAUUGGUUUCCGUUGCUGCUGGAGUCAAGCUCCAUGAUCUUCAAGUUUCUUAAUGCAUUAGUUGGUUUUGGACUAUUUGACAGAGGAUUCCUUGUGUUACAUAUAACACCAGCCCCACUUACUGCAUUAUUAAUAGUGAAAUUCACAAUUAUUUUCUCAUCACUAAUAUAGUUUAGUAUAUUAUUCUGAAUCUGAACUAUUUGUGUUAGGUUGGGAGCUGAGUUGAAAUUGGAAUUCCCAUGCUAAUACUGUUUAUAGCCUUAUCUCAGAGAUUGGAUCAGGAGAUUGAGAUUCCAUCACCAAAAGAGUUAGGAAGUAGAUUUUCUGGAGCAAGCAACAAGGAAGCAUGACCUUGUUUGAUAUGUUUAGACGUAUAUUAAGGAGUAUAUUAAGGAUUAUAUGUUAAGACGUAUUAUUAAAAAAUGUUACUUUGAUACUUUAUUUUUGGAUUAUGACUUUUGGAUCAUGUAUGAAUAAAAAAUCAUGUUAUGAUGUUUGAUUUAUGGCUGUGCCUUUUGGUUAUUACAAGAUUUUUAAGUGAGUUUCGAAAA